rnacentral:rRNA from 1 species
CUCAGUAACACGCGGACAAUCUGCCCUAAGGUGAGGGAUAAUCUCGGGAAACUGAGCAUAAUACCUCAUAGGUCAUGGAUGCUGGAAUGCUUCGUGGCCAAAAGCUCCGGCGCCUUAGGAUGAGUCUGCGGCCUAUCAGGUCGUAGUGGGUGUAACGGACCCACUAGCCAACGACGGGUACGGGCGUUGGGAGACGUCGCCCGGAGAUGGAUUCUGAGACACGAAUCCAGGCCCUACGGGGCGCAGCAGUCGCGAAAACUUGUCAAUGCGGGAAACCGCGAACAGGGGAGUCCAAGUGCUUGCACUUUGUGUAAGCUGUUCGGUUGUCUAAAAAACAGCCGAAGGAAGGGCUGGGUAAGACAGGUGCCAGCCGCCGCGGUAAUACCUGCAGCCCGAGUGGUGAUCGAUUUUAUUGAGCCUAAAGCGUCCGUAGCCGGUCUAGUAAACCCUUGGGUAAAUUGGGCAGCUUAACUGUCCGAAUUCCGAGGGGACUGCUAGACUUGGGACCGGGAGAGGUCAGAGGUACUCCAGGGGUAGGGGCUAAAUCCGAUAUGGUUUUGUGCCAUUCGGUUAGCAUUCCUGUAAUCCUUGGGGGACCACCAGUGGCGAAGGCGUCUGACUAGAACGGAUCCGACGGUAAGGGACGAAACCCUGGGGCGCGAACCGGAUUAGAUACCCGGGUAGUCCAGGGCGUAAACGCUGCAGGCUUGGUGUUGGGGACCCUACGAGGGUGCCCAGUGCCGGAGUGAAGAUGUUAAGCCUGCCGCUUGGGGAGUACGUCCGCAAGGAUGAAACUAAAG